UACGAAGGGGGCUAGCGUUGCUCGGAAUCACUGGGCGUAAAGCGCACGUAGGCGGAUUGUUAAGUCAGGGGGUGAAAUCCUGGAGCUCAACUCCAGAACUGCCUUUGAUACUGGCGAUCUCGAGUCCGGGAGAGGUGAGUGGAACUCCCAGUGUAGAGGUGAAAAUUUCGUAGAUAUUGGGAAGAACACCAGUGGCGAAGGCGGCUCACUGGCCCGUAACUGACGCUGAGGUGCGAAAGCGUGGGGAGCAAACAGGG
rnacentral:rRNA from 1 species